UGGGUUUGACAUGUUCCUGACCGCCGUGGAAACACGGCUUCCCUCACGGGCAGGAUCACAGGUGCUGCAUGGCUGUCGUCAGCUCGUGUCGUGAGAUGUUGGGUUAAGUCCCGCAACGAGCGCAACCCUUGUCAUUAGUUGCUACAUUUAGUUGAGCACUCUAAUGAGACUGCCGGUGACAAACCGGAGGAAGGUGGGGAUGACGUAAGCCUAUCGAGA
rnacentral:misc_RNA from 1 species